UGUCCAGUAGCACCUUAGAGACCAACUAAGUUUGUUUGGGAUAUAAGCUUUCGUGUGCAUGCACACUUCUUCAGAUACUUAGUCGGUCUCUAAGGUGCUACUGGACA